ACUCCUACGGGAGGCAGCAGUGGGGAAUAUUGCACAAUGGGCGCAAGCCUGAUGCAGCCAUGCCGCGUGUAUGAAGAAGGCCUUCGGGUUGUAAAGUACUUUCAGCAGUGAGGAAGGUGGGUAUGUUAAUAGCAUAUUCAUUUGACGUUAGCUGCAGAAGAAGCACCGGCUAACUCCGUGCCAGCAGCCGCGGUAAUACGGAGGGUGCGAGCGUUAAUCGGAAUUACUGGGCGUAAAGCGCAUGCAGGUGGUUUGUUAAGUCAGAUGUGAAAGCCCGGGGCUCAACCUCGGAAUUGCAUUUGAAACUGGCAAACUAGAGUACUGUAGAGGGGGGUAGAAUUUCAGGUGUAGCGGUGAAAUGCGUAGAGAUCUGAAGGAAUACCGGUGGCGAAGGCGGCCCCCUGGACAGAUACUGACACUCAGAUGCGAAAGCGUGGGGAGCAAACAGGAUUAGAUACCCUGGUAGGAUAGCG
rnacentral:rRNA from 1 species